GGGUUGUGAGGUUAAGCGACUAAGCGUACACGGUGGAUGCCCUGGCAGUCAGAGGCGAUGAAGGACGUGCUAAUCUGCGAUAAGCGUCGGUAAGGUGAUAUGAACCGUUAUAACCGGCGAUUUCCGAAUGGGGAAACCCAGUGUGAUUCGUCACACUAUCAUUAACUGAAUCCAUAGGUUAAUGAGGCGAACCGGGGGAACUGAAACAUCUAAGUACCCCGAGGAAAAGAAAUCAACCGAGAUUCCCCCAGUAGCGGCGAGCGAACGGGGAGGAGCCCAGAGCCUGAAUCAGUGUGUGUGUUAGUGGAAGCGUCUGGAAAGGCGUGCGAUACAGGGUGACAGCCCCGUACACAAAAAUGCACAUACUGUGAGCUCGAUGAGUAGGGCGGGACACGUGGUAUCCUGUCUGAAUAUGGGGGGACCAUCCUCCAAGGCUAAAUACUCCUGACUGACCGAUAGUGAACCAGUACCGUGAGGGAAAGGCGAAAAGAACCCCGGCGAGGGGAGUGAAAAAGAACCUGAAACCGUGUACGUACAAGCAGUGGGAGCCUCUUAAUGGGGUGACUGCGUACCUUUUGUAUAAUGGGUCAGCGACUUAUAUUCUGUAGCAAGGUUAACCGAAUAGGGGAGCCGAAGGGAAACCGAGUCUUAACUGGGCGUUAAGUUGCAGGGUAUAGACCCGAAACCCGGUGAUCUAGCCAUGGGCAGGUUGAAGGUUGGGUAACACUAACUGGAGGACCGAACCGACUAAUGUUGAAAAAUUAGCGGAUGACUUGUGGCUGGGGGUGAAAGGCCAAUCAAACCGGGAGAUAGCUGGUUCUCCCCGAAAGCUAUUUAGGUAGCGCCUCGUGAAUUCAUCUCCGGGGGUAGAGCACUGUUUCGGCAAGGGGGUCAUCCCGACUUACCAACCCGAUGCAAACUGCGAAUACCGGAGAAUGUUAUCACGGGAGACACACGGCGGGUGCUAACGUCCGUCGUGAAGAGGGAAACAACCCAGACCGCCAGCUAAGGUCCCAAAGUCAUGGUUAAGUGGGAAACGAUGUGGGAAGGCCCAGACAGCCAGGAUGUUGGCUUAGAAGCAGCCAUCAUUUAAAGAAAGCGUAAUAGCUCACUGGUCGAGUCGGCCUGCGCGGAAGAUGUAACGGGGCUAAACCAUGCACCGAAGCUGCGGCAGCGACACUAUGUGUUGUUGGGUAGGGGAGCGUUCUGUAAGCCUGUGAAGGUGUACUGUGAGGUAUGCUGGAGGUAUCAGAAGUGCGAAUGCUGACAUAAGUAACGAUAAAGCGGGUGAAAAGCCCGCUCGCCGGAAGACCAAGGGUUCCUGUCCAACGUUAAUCGGGGCAGGGUGAGUCGACCCCUAAGGCGAGGCCGAAAGGCGUAGUCGAUGGGAAACAGGUUAAUAUUCCUGUACUUGGUGUUACUGCGAAGGGGGGACGGAGAAGGCUAUGUUGGCCGGGCGACGGUUGUCCCGGUUUAAGCGUGUAGGCUGGUUUUCCAGGCAAAUCCGGAAAAUCAAGGCUGAGGCGUGAUGACGAGGCACUACGGUGCUGAAGCAACAAAUGCCCUGCUUCCAGGAAAAGCCUCUAAGCAUCAGGUAACAUCAAAUCGUACCCCAAACCGACACAGGUGGUCAGGUAGAGAAUACCAAGGCGCUUGAGAGAACUCGGGUGAAGGAACUAGGCAAAAUGGUGCCGUAACUUCGGGAGAAGGCACGCUGAUAUGUAGGUGAAGUCCCUCGCGGAUGGAGCUGAAAUCAGUCGAAGAUACCAGCUGGCUGCAACUGUUUAUUAAAAACACAGCACUGUGCAAACACGAAAGUGGACGUAUACGGUGUGACGCCUGCCCGGUGCCGGAAGGUUAAUUGAUGGGGUUAGCGGUAACGCGAAGCUCUUGAUCGAAGCCCCGGUAAACGGCGGCCGUAACUAUAACGGUCCUAAGGUAGCGAAAUUCCUUGUCGGGUAAGUUCCGACCUGCACGAAUGGCGUAAUGAUGGCCAGGCUGUCUCCACCCGAGACUCAGUGAAAUUGAACUCGCUGUGAAGAUGCAGUGUACCCGCGGCAAGACGGAAAGACCCCGUGAACCUUUACUAUAGCUUGACACUGAACAUUGAGCCUUGAUGUGUAGGAUAGGUGGGAGGCUUUGAAGUGUGGACGCCAGUCUGCAUGGAGCCGGCCUUGAAAUACCACCCUUUAAUGUUUGAUGUUCUAACGUUGGCCCCUGACCGGGGUUGCGGACAGUGUCUGGUGGGUAGUUUGACUGGGGCGGUCUCCUCCUAAAGAGUAACGGAGGAGCACGAAGGUUGGCUAAUCCUGGUCGGACAUCAGGAGGUUAGUGCAAUGGCAUAAGCCAGCUUGACUGCGAGCGUGACGGCGCGAGCAGGUGCGAAAGCAGGUCAUAGUGAUCCGGUGGUUCUGAAUGGAAGGGCCAUCGCUCAACGGAUAAAAGGUACUCCGGGGAUAACAGGCUGAUACCGCCCAAGAGUUCAUAUCGACGGCGGUGUUUGGCACCUCGAUGUCGGCUCAUCACAUCCUGGGGCUGAAGUAGGUCCCAAGGGUAUGGCUGUUCGCCAUUUAAAGUGGUACGCGAGCUGGGUUUAGAACGUCGUGAGACAGUUCGGUCCCUAUCUGCCGUGGGCGCUGGAGAACUGAGGGGGGCUGCUCCUAGUACGAGAGGACCGGAGUGGACGCAUCACUGGUGUUCGGGUUGUCAUGCCAAUGGCACUGCCCGGUAGCUAAAUGCGGAAGAGAUAAGUGCUGAAAGCAUCUAAGCACGAAACUUGCCCCGAGAUGAGUUCUCCCUGACUCCUUGAGAGUCCUGAAGGAACGUUG
rnacentral:rRNA from 1 species